rnacentral:lncRNA from 1 species
AAUGAAAACAAACAAAGAUGGCUGAUUUCUGCGUUUUUAUCACGGGCUCAACUUUUAACACAUUUUGCUCGCUAAGGAAGGCAAAGGAAGGAACGGAGUAGCGUUUUUGGCUGUUUCUGCUAUAACACAUUUUACUCGCUAAGGAAGGCAAAGGAUAGAAGGGAGUAGCGUUUUUGGCUGUUUCUGCUAUAACAGAUUGCACAAACGCUUUGAAACAUUUGCAGCUGUUCACCAACACUCUUACAUUUUCUGGAAUUUUCAAUUGAAUGGGAGAAUACCCAAAUCGGUUCAGCCGUUCUUGAGUUAUAAAUGGUGUAACGACUUUCUUUUAUAUACAUAUGUAUGUAUAUAAGUAGAUAUAGAAAACGGAAAAGCUGAAGAGGAGAAUAAGAAAAGCAUUUGGAGCAUUUUUAUAAUUCAAAUAUCAUAUUGCAAAUUACAAAAAACUAAGAAUGAAUUUCGAUGAUCUUGUGGAAGAAAUGGAUUCCGAAGUGAAAUACUCACAACCGUUGAGCCCCCAUAGAUUUUGCAUUGAACAUCUGAUGAUCUUCAUUUUGCAUUUUUUAAUAAUAUGUUUUUUACAGAUAAAGUGUUUAAAAAAUAUUUUAUAAUAUCGUUUGCGCUC